rnacentral:lncRNA from 1 species
UCCCACUCUAGGCUCCUCGAUUGGCUAUGCUUGCUCUAUUACACAGCCGACUUUGUUGUGCUCAUCCAAACUUUGGAGAUGUGGUUGAGGUUGUUGUUACUACUAGGGCACUUGAUGCACGGUUGGUUGAGGGACUAUGGCCUCUUACUGAAGGGUUUGAACGGCCAUAAUUAGAGUCUGGACCUACUGCAUGAGUAGGUUAAAUUGCUCAGAGGCCAUCCCUUAGGCCUGCUGAGGGGGUGG